UACAGAGGGUGCGAGCGUUGUCCGGAAUCACUGGGCGUAAAGGGUGAGUAGGUGGCUUGUUAAGCGUGUGGUGAAAGCCUGGGGCUCAACCCCAGGUCUGCCGUGCGGACUGGCAAGCUGGAGCAGAGUAGAGGCGAGUGGAAUUCCGGGUGUAGCGGUGGAAUGCGUAGAGAUCGGGAAGAACAUCGGUGGCGAAGGCGGCCUGCUGGGCUGUUGCUGACGCUGAGGCGCGACAGCGUGGGGAGCAAACAGG
rnacentral:rRNA from 1 species